GCCGCCCGGUCCAAAAGCAUCUUGCCCCCGUUGGUACAAAAUGUGGCAUGGAAUCUGCUACAAGGCCUUUAAGAUAGCAAAGACCUUCAUUGAUGCGACUGAAACCUGUGGUGAAGACGGCGGUACCCUCGCCAUGCCGAGAGACGCUGAGACCAACGACUUCCUGAUCUCCUUGUACAAGUCCAGGAAUGCCGUCUGGAUCGGCCUGCACCGUCAGCACCAAGAGGGGAACUUUCAGUGGGUGGACGGUUCUGCACUUCGUGACUACAACUCGUGGGCUCCGGCAGAACCAGAUGGCUCCGGUGCUUAAGUUGUCUACUCCAAACAUCCGAAAGGCGGCAGGUGGAUCGACUGGAAAUGUAGCGACAGGUUUUACUUCGUUUGCCAAGUCGUCCCAGGACGUCUAUAGACGACAGGCCGAUCUCUCGCCACUGCUCUGAAACGGCUAUUCGGCAACCUGAAAUGUUAAAGCUGGACCCUGGAAUGGAACCGAUGGGCCAACUUAGAAAGUUUAAAUAGUUUAAUUGCUUUUUUUUAGCCAACUGUAUUGAAACAAUUAUUGAAUACAACAUGCACCUGUAGAAUGUUGAUCAAACCUUAGAAAUAACGUAGUAGGAAGGUUUGGUACACAGAUUUCUGGAUUUGAUCUGACUUUAAACAAGUGCUUUUGAAAAAAUCAGCCAUUUUUUACUCAAAAGGAACAGAGUAUUUAUCACCCUUCACGCCUCACGGUGAAAAUGGUGAAAAAUUGACAGAUUUGAUAUUUAGAUUGCAUGACAUAAUUAAAAAGUAUCAUCUGUAAAUGUAUUCCAAGAAAUAACGAAAUGUUCUAAAAAGAAGGAAAAAAUGAAACUAGAUGUUAGAGUCCAUAACGUUUAAAGUUUGUAUGUGAUUGAGCACAUAACUUUUGUAAGAACAUUGAUUUAGAAAAAUGUCAUCUGUAAAUGUAUUCCAAGAAAUAACUAAAUGUUUUCAAAAGAAGGAAAAAAAUGAAACUAUAUGUUAGAGUCCAUAACGUUUAAAGUUUGUAUGUAAUUGAGCACGUAACUUUUGUAAGAACAUUGAUUUAGAAAAAUGUCAUCUGUAAAUGUAUUCCAAGAAAUAACUCAAUGUUCUAAAAAGAAGGAAAAAAAUGAAACUAUAUGUUAGAGUCCAUAACGUUCAAAGUUUGUAUGUGAUUGAGCACAUAACUUUUGUAAGAACAUUGAUUUAGAAAAAUGUCAUCUGUAAAUGUAUUCCAAGAAAUAACUCAAUGUUUUCAAAAGAAGGAAAAAUUGAAACUAGAUGUUAGAUUCUAAGAUGUUUAAAGUUUGUAUGAGCACAUAACUUUUGUAGGAACACUGAGUGAUUUGACUUAUAUAUGAGGCUCAGAAGCGGCUUGUAUAAGAAAAAUCCUGUAUGUAGAAGGAAAAAUCCUCUGGUAAAAUUACAGCACGUUCCGAAUGCAUGUAUGUAGCAUUGGGUUUUGGUCAUAUAGAAACUGAGAUGGGUUUGAAUCUGAUCUGAUGUUGAGCAGAUAUCCGAUGUUGAGCAGAUACAUGAUGAAAAGAAGAUUUCAAUAAGAAACAAAGAAUAGAAGAUUCGGAUAAGAAGCAUGUAACUCGUCCGAUGUGCAGAAUGCUCUACAGAUACAGAGAAAAGUUAAUGAAAGAUGUGUAAAAGGCAGUAGACGAGAAUAAAAAAAAUGUGUUCGUGA